UGUAGUUGGUGUAUUCAUCAGUGUUUGUUUACAGUAAGUUUAUAUUACAACUUAAUAAAACGUUCUUUCUAAACAUCUAAUUUAAACAUCUAAUUUCAGCUUCAGACCUACAAAAGUUGUGCCAAAAAGACGCAUCGUAAGUUUAUCGAAAAUAUUGACUUCGGCACAAGUUCUUCAUCCACAAAUUCUUCCGAUUCAGACUACUGAAUUCUUCUCUAAAACCAACAUAAAUAAUCUUUUUUUGGAAAAUUUUUAUCAAAUUUUUAUCAAACAAAAAGUGCGUCACAAAAUUCCUACGAUAAGGAAAGCGUGUUAUCUGUUAACCGCAAAAAUUGAUUAUAAAAGUUCCGUUUUUUACACAUUUCACCAGUUUUAUUAAAACUAUCUUUGUGAGAAGUUGUAUGUGCUCCGCUGUGUAUUUUUGCAUUUAAAUUUCAAAGGAUUCUGUAAUGGCUGAUCAACUAUUAAAUCUGAAUAAAAUUGCUGCCUGUGAAUAUACUGAUACAUAUGUCAGUGCCAACGAUUUGGAAGUGAACAAGAAAUAUAAAAUCAUCAAUUUAACCAAGGCAAACACACAACAUGGGGUUAUGAUGGUAGCAUAUCUGGACAACGUCGGUAAAGUUUUUUUACCUAAACGACUAACAGCAGUUAUGAAUGAUACCAUAAUUACGACACUAAUGGAAGGACUCGGAUCUUAUUUGAUUUAUAUGGGACGUAAGCAAGCUAAUGGAAAUCAGGAACAUGAUGCCCACAUUUUUAAUUUCGAACGUAUUGUUCACGAAGAUUAAUGUAAAAUUUUUUGGUUUCCAAAAUAGACAGCACUAUCCACUCUACCUACCUGAGGUUCGACUCCCCAUGGAAGGAACAACAACAACAACAACUUUUUUUGCAUUAUAUUUUAAACAAAUAACAAAAUAAACUUGGUGCGCAACAGACAAGUUAGGCAAACAACAUUACAAAAAUAAAAAACUACAUAUACUA